UCUCCGGACCAUCAGCCAGUGCGGCUGCCCAAAACCUACCACGGUCAGUGGCCUGCUCCCGUGAAGGGUCGUGCCCUCGGUUCAGCUGCGUGCUUGGCAGCCUACUGGGAGACAUGUACGUACACAGCGGGACAACGAGCGUGAGCAUAGCCUUCAUCUGGGAGUCUGUUUAGUAAGGAGCCUGGAGCUCUUCACCGCCCUGCCCUUCCCAGCUCACCGAGUCCAGAGUGUUGAAGAGGAGGUGCAGCAAAUGAUCGGGACUUGGAGUCUGCAGUUUAUUCUUCGUCUUCAGAGUGGUGUUUGCCUCGGCCUCAUUCAGCCAUUUCAUAAACAGCUCGAUGUCCUCCAGGACGUGGUUCAGCACCUCCUGGACCACAGACAGCAUGUGGCCUCAAGUGGACAAUUAGGCCCCCCCGCCCGGAACAGCCAGCCCUGCCCCUGCCGAGCCUCCCUGUCCCUCCUCAGCCCAAGGCCUGACUUGGCCAUCCUGGGACCUGGUUUCCUUGUAGGAGUGGAAGAGUUAAUGUCCUCCCUUCCUCCAGCCCCAGAGAGCUCUGCAAGACGCUUCCUCAUUGGGUCCCUUACCUGGAGGCAAGACCUUACCUGGUCCCUCAUUGGGUCCUGGGGGGAUGGGGGCCGCUUCGGAAAAGGUGGGGGGAUGGCGCUUGGUUCUCCUUGGGCACUCGAAUGUCGUGACAGGGGCCUUGGGGAUGGUUGUGUGUCUGCAAUGGAAGGGGACCACGGCCUCUUUGAUUUUUGAUCUAAACCUUCUCCUCCCACUGGUCCCCACACUCCAAACUUACAGUGCUCUUUGGCCAUCCAAUGGGGCUGUUGGGGAGGAAGUCCCUGCACCAGGGCGGGUGCCUGCUCCUUGGGGAGUGGCCUUUCUUGAGGAGUCCCCUGCCAUCUGUCCUGGCCUUGGUGAAGGGCUCCCAGUGGAGGUCUGUGAGCACAGGGUGGGGACACAGGUUUGACAGUGUUUUGGAGACAGAGGCUCUGCCCACAUUUCUCUCCAGGUCUCCAUCCUGAACCUUCCCUGACUCCAUCCUGCCCUAUUGGCCUGCCUCUGAGCCCUCUCAGGCCGAGGUCAGGCUCUGGGACAGUCUCCACUGUUCCCUGGGCCUGGACCCAGCCCCAUCCUCAUGCCCUUGCCUCCGGCCUGGCCCUGCCCCAGCUCCGGGCCCAGGGUUCCUUGGGCUGUAGGCUCCUGGGCACCCCCAGAUGUGGGCUGGGGUCUGGUCCACCCAGACCCAUGCUCUGAGACCCUGCCGGCAGGCCGGGGCAGCGACUGCCUACCUGCUCUCCCGCUCUUCCUCCAGGGCCUUCUGCAGGCUGGUCUUCAGUCUCUGUGCCUGUGGGAAGCGGCAACUAGGCAGGCUGCGCGGUGUGCCUGGGGAGGGGUGACGGUUGCUGGGCCCCACUCCCCCACCUCGCCCAGCCCCAGCAGCUCACCCCCACUUCCUGGCACUGGAAGAACAGAGUGCUGCUGCCUGGCGGGCCUGACGGGCCUGGCUCCCGCACGGUGAUGGCCAGGAUGUUGUCAUAAGAGCAGGAGCUGGGCACCACGUCCACGGCCUGGAUGCUGUCCAGGCGGUAAGAGUCCAGCUCCUCCUGGGCCAGGUGGAACAGCCACUGUGAGGUCACUGAGAGCCAGGGCGGUUCCUGGGAGUUUCUGACCUGGGUUGCCUGCCCCAGCCCGCCUGUGGCCUGGGGCUGGGUGCCAACGCCCCCGCCCACGCGGCUCUGUGCCUGGUCUCUUCCCGGACCCAGACCUGUGCUGCACACGGGAGGGGCGGCCGCCGUUCAGGGCCUGGAGGCGUGGGGUUUGUGCCGGGGCUUGCUUUCCCACAGCCUGCAUACCCGUGACCCAUGGCAGGGUACGGUAGGAGGGCUGACCUUGGUCUCGAUAUCCAGCAGCUGGAGCUGGCCAUCUCUGACCUGCAGGAACAAGUUCUGGCUCCACACCCGGCCCUGAGCAUCCACCUCCUGCAGCUUCUUCACAGCAUCUUUGAGGUCCCUGAUGCCCUGAGUGCCCAGCUUACAUGUCAUCAGGUGCUGCGGGAAGAGGAGGGGCUCAGGACGGGGAGCAGCUUUGGAGAGGUCACAGUGGGUGGUGGGCAGGGCGGGGGAAGGCAGCAGAGGAGGAAGACAUGGGCCCAGCCUCCCACGGGGACAGUCCCAGGUGGCCCCACAAAGCAGCCUCCCAGGGCUCGUGUGAGCGCCAGAAGCUGGCUAGGACAAGGCCCCCGAGCCAGGGUCUGAUGGGCCGAAUGAGGGAGGGGCUUGGGACCCUGGAGAAAGAACGUGGCCUUUAACAGUCCGGGCCAGCGGAGGGGGCUGGGUGGGGGCAGGCGUGGUUCGAAGCAACAAAGAAAGUGGGACCCCCUGCAGGUGGGACACAGGACCCUCCCAUUCCAUCCCUGGCUCCCUCUGUUCCUUUGGGAACCUACUCCCCUAGCCUGGCCCUCCCAGCUGACCCAGCGUUCCUGUCUGCAUGCCUUUGCUCACACUGGCCACCCUCCCUGCCCCCUGCAGGGGCUCAUCCGGAGCAGUGUCUCUCGGGAGGAAGGCCACGCCCCACCUUCUCCCUGAUUCCCGCCCAGUGCGUCCGCAGCAUCUUAUCCCCCUUGAGGGGAGACAAGGCCCUUCUCGAAGCGGGGCUGAUCCUCCCACAGGUUUCUGCUGUCAUUCUCCCUCCUCUAGGAGACCCUUCCCUGUCGCAUCCAACCUCGGCCUUCACAGGUCACAGGCCUGCCCCUCACGCCCCCUGCAGGCCCUUGCUGGGGGAGCGCCAUCUGCCUCCUCCUGCCAGUUCCACUGCUCUGCUUCUUGCACAGGCCCCUGCUCCUCUCCUGGAGGGGCUUCCAGCGUGUUCAGGGCCCCUGGCAUCACAGACCAAUGUCCUGGCAUCCUGGACACGCCUCCCCUCACUCUACACAAAGCCCCUUCCCAACUCCCACCCCUGCUAUGGAGCCCAGGAACCCCAGUCCUAGCCCAGCUGGCUGGGAAAGCCCGCCUCUGCUGCCCUGUGGAAGCUCCAGACCAUCGCCCCUUGUCCUGCCCUCCUCUUUCUCCGGGACAGCUCUGAGCCUGCUGCUGCCUUGGGGCGGUUUACGAUGGACAGUUCUUUGGCCUGACCAGGGAUUUGCUCUCCCCACUGUGUCCUUCCAGUCUGUGCUGUGUUGGCUGCGUAUACUGCCCCCUUCAGGCAGCUAGAUGUCACAGCACCACUGUCCUCUCAGGCAGGGCCAGAGCCUCCAACAGCUCCUGCCCAGACCCCCGUUCUGGUGGGGACUGAUGACCUCACAUGUUCCUUUCUCUGCCCAGCCUGCCCAGCCAGAUGCAGGUCAAAGAGCAGCUCCCUGGGGACCGGUGGGUGUGGCGGGGGUGGUUGUACGUGCCUCCUGACCGCUCAGCCCUCUGCUUUUCUGUGCCUGGGGACAGGACAUCUGUCCAUUCAAGCUCCUGCCCUGCAGCCCUGCCGAUUCCCAGCUGCCUGAGCCUCCCCAGCACUUGGUGCUCUGAUGCCCCGUUAGACUCGCUGGACCCGAGCCCUCCCCCCCCCC